GGACGAACGCUGGCGGCGUGCCUAACACAUGCAAGUCGAACGAGAUCCAUGGGAGCUUGCUCCCGGAAGAUCUAGUGGCGAACGGGUGAGUAACACGUGAGAAACCUGCCCUGGAGUGGGGAAUAACUCGGGGAAACUCGAGCUAAUACCGCAUACCCUCGGAUGGUCGCAUGGCCGACCGAGGAAAGAUUUAUCGCUCUAGGAGGGUCUCGCGGCCUAUCAGCUAGUUGGUGGGUAACGGCCUACCAAGGCAACGACGGGUAGCUGGUUUGAGAGAACGAUCAGCCACACUGGGACUGAGACACGGCCCAGACUCCUACGGGAGGCAGCAGUGGGGAAUCUUGCGCAAUGGGCGAAAGCCUGACGCAGCAACGCCGCGUGCGGAUGACGGCCUUCGUGGUUGUAAACCGCUUUCAGCAGGGACGAAAAUGACGGUACCUGCAGAAGAAGCCCCGGCUAACUACGUG
rnacentral:rRNA from 1 species